UUCGCGAUACCGUGUGAAGUGAGGCCGGAGAAGGUCAUGUGGUGAUUGCAUGGUCAAUAAACAAGUCUUUCGGAUCUUGGAAAAAUAACGCACCGACCGUUGGAAUAUAAUGAGAAUCACGGGCCGAGUGAGCAGGCGUGGGUGGCCUAUUAGCCGUGGACGGGCAGGGCGUUACACAUUGUCUCAUCUAUAACCAAAGAUGCAAGAAGGUUCUGGUUUCAUUGUGUAAACUUCAUCUUGGUCAAAUAUUUAGCCAUAAUAAUUUCUAUGUUGCAGAAAAAAACCGCUAAAAUCAAUCGGCAAGGAUUUGAGAAAAGAGUGUUUUCACAAAACCUAUAACUUUGUCUCUCAAUUGUGAGUUAUGUUUUUCUUAGAGAUUCCCAUAAAGCAUAAAUAUUUUUGCUAGUUGUGAC
rnacentral:lncRNA from 1 species